rnacentral:rRNA from 1 species
UGGGGGAUAUUGCACAAUGGGCGAAAGCCUGAUGCAGCGACGCCGCGUGGGGGAUGAAGGCCUUCGGGUUGUAAACUUCUUUUGCUCUGAACAAGGCAUGCCUUUGGGGUGUGUUGAGUGUAGGGGUUGAUUAGCGCCGGCUAACUACGUGCCAGCAGCCGCGGUAAUACGUAGGGCGCGAGUGUUGUCCGGAAUUAUUGGGCGUAAAGGGCUUGUAGGUGGCUGGUUGCGUCUGUCGUGAAAGCUCAUGGCUUAACUGUGGGUUUGCGGUGGGUACGGGCUGGCUUGAGUGCAGUAGGGGAGGGUGGAAUUCCUGGUGUAGCGGUGGAAUGCGCAGAUAUCAGGAGGAAUACCGGUGGCGAAGGCGGGUCUCUGGGCUGUUACUGACGCUGAGGAGCGAAAGCGUGGGGAGCGAACAGG